UAAAAAAAAAAAACGUAUUGCUCUAACAUUUAGAAAGAGUAAAAGAGAUAACUGAAAGGUUGCAUGUGUUAAGCGUAUAUACAUAAAAAUCACACUGAUUCUGUUGAUUAGUUCGAAAUCUGUGAAAAAGCAAUAUUUUAAAAGACAUUUUGUGAACAGAAAUCUUAAAAACAGUAAUUGAAAUGUUGUGUGAUAAAAGGCAGAAGGAAAAUUAGUCAGUUAAAUUAUUCAGCGACCGGCUAGUGUAAUUACAAAAAACUGUUAUGGCCAAAAUAACUUUAUGUCGUGUAUGGCUUUCUUUUCACACAAUUAAAAAUUUAUGUAGUUAUCUUUGUUACUCUUUUUUUAAUUAGUUUUGUGGUUUUCUUAUAUGAAGACGAAUGGUUUUUUAAGAACAUAUUUCGGAGUUUAAUGGCAAAGCGUUAAAGAAAAAAAUAGUUUUUUGUGAAAUAUUGACAGAAAACGAGCGAGAGAGUGUAACAAAUAAUAACAGAUCGAAAGAAAAAUAAAGAAAGACACCAGAACACAUAAGCAAAGAAAAACUACACCCCUGAAGAUGUCUGCUGUCAUUUAAAAUUUUAACUUUAAUCCUUGGGUGCAAUGGUCACAUCACAUUAUAAAGGACCUCAAGUGCAAUUACAUCAACGAGAAUAUUCGUAAGACGUUGUUAUUGACUUCUGUCGUAACAUCUCUUUUAAAACGAAUUUAUAAAGUAAUAAAGAGAAGAAAAGAUAUCAAUGUCGAAAACAGUGAAAAAGAAGACGAACCUCUUACCCUAUAAAUAUAUUUCAAUCUAAUGUUUCCCUAAAUAACAAUUAUUACGAUUGAUAGACGACUUAUAUUCGAAAGGAAAUGCAAAAGCAAAGAGAACUGAAAACUUAGGGAAUGGUUUCAAGUAAAGCAGCAAAAAAAACAAAUAAGAAAAUGUGUAAAAUAAAAAAAAAAAUCAAAUCUUUUUAAAGGUUGAUAUUAGGCACACCCCGUAAAAUCGAACGAUUUUGUUAUGUUUUCAUUCUUUUCGUUAAGUUUUUUGCCUUCUUUAUUGGAUGUCAUGUGGACUUUGAUUUCACUUAAAAAGAAGACGUACUUUUUGAUUUUUUUUUUUCUUUUGUAAACGUCAGAAAGCAAUCCAACGUAAUAUUUCAGUUUCAAAAUAAAAUACAAAAUUGAACUCAAAAUUCAAUCGACUGGAAGGAGAUAAAUUUAUGAAAGAAAAGGAAAUCGGUCAACAUACAGUCAACUCAGUUUUAUAGGAAGACGUCAAUCAAUUAACUACGCUUGCGCAAGUGUGCAAAAUUCUACAGCAAUAUUGAAAGGUUUACGGAAAAUUUCUAUUUUUCCAUUUUAAAGAACAAAGCUAAUAAAAAAUAAUAAGACCUGCAGAAAACCAAUCCUUUCUUUGCUUCACUCCGAAAACAGCAAAAAGCAAAAGUUUGUGUUUUCUUUCCUGUGCGUGAGUAAUGUAGAUAUUUUGAAAGAAGCUGUGAACAACGGAGAAAAAACGGAAGAUUGAGAACGCAACAGGAGAGAGCGAGAACAAGUGUUUUUUUGUUGGUGCUUUUAAAUAAAUAAUAGUUGCGCACAAAUUGUAGUCGACAUUUUUGUUGCUUCGUUGUUUUUUUCGGUGUGGUCGAGCACGAAAUGCAGCGAAGAGAACCACGACAAU